rnacentral:tRNA from 1 species
ACAUUAAGAAGCUAUGCAUUUAGCACUAGCCUUUUAAGCUAGCGAAAGGGGACCGCUCACCCCCUUAAUGAA